CAAAGGCUCUACCAAGGUGGAGAAAGCAAAACUGUGUUUUAUUUCCUGAGGCUGAUCAGCACAGAACAGAUGGUUGGGAAGACUAGUACUGCUAUAGCAGUUGCGUGAUGCACAUGCUGAGGAGAGGAGCUCUGUUGAACUCUAAUUUCAAGUAAAAGAGCAUCUAUUGC